AUGACUUUGAUCUGCGUCCUCAUCUGGACUCUCCUCUGCUGCUGCUUCACAGAGUCCAGAGGUCAGGUCACAGUGACUCAGCCUGCAGCAGUGAGAGCUGAUCUGGGAGGAUCUGUUACCAUCAGCUGCAGAACAAGUCCAAAUGUUCGGGUCUGGAGCAGCUACCACCUUUUAGCCUGGUAUCAACAGAAGGAUGGUCAAUCUCCUAAGCGUCUCAUUUAUUAUGCUAGCUCUAGAGACUCCUGGACUCCAAGUCGUUUUACAGGCAGUGGAUCAAACUCUGACUUCACUCUGACCAUCAGUGGAGUUCAGGCUGAAGAUGCUGCAGUUUAUUACUGUCAGAGUGAACAUUACAUCAACAGUCAGCCUGUGUUCACACAGUGA